rnacentral:rRNA from 1 species
UACGAAGGGGGCUAGCGUUGCUCGGAAUCACUGGGCGUAAAGGGUGCGUAGGCGGCUUCUUAAGUCGGUGGUGAAAUCCUGGAGCUCAACUCCAGAACUGCCUUUGAUACUGAAGAUCUUGAGUCCGGGAGAGGUGAGUGGAACUGCGAGUGUAGAGGUGAAAUUCGUAGAUAUUCGCAAGAACACCAGUGGCGAAGGCGGCUCACUGGCCCGGUACUGACGCUGAGGCACGAAAGCGUGGGGAGCAAACAGG